rnacentral:misc_RNA from 1 species
UUCUAUUUCUCUUCAAUUUUUUCUAAACAGCUUUAUCGAACAUUCGUUUUGACAUUGUAGACGCGACAUACUGCAUAUAAUUAAAAAAAUAAUUAUAAAAUAUAAUUAACUCAAAUGCAAUUUAAAAUACUUUUUGCAAAAAAAACCAUUAAAAAUGCACCGUGGGAAGAAAUACAUUACUGAGGUUAUCGAUAAGUUUAAGAUAAAUAAAGGAUGAUGAUGCAGAUUUCGAAAAAGAUGUUGAGAGUAAUUAAAUCAUAUAUCAAGUUAGGACCUUUACAAGUUACUACCUUUUUUCUCAGAUCUUGACAUUAACUGAAGAAAGGAUUAUCCAUAAUAAGAACAUAGGACUACAUCCAUAAUAAGAAAUUGCUUUCCUUUUAUACAUCAUCUAUUUGAGUAUAUAAUAUUAUAGUAUCGCAAUCAUAGUCCUAAUUUAAAUCUAAUAAUC